rnacentral:rRNA from 1 species
UACGGAGGGUGCGAGCGUUAUCCGGAAUGAUUGGGCGUAAAGCGUCCGCAGGUGGCAGUUCAAGUCUGCUGUCAAAGACCGGGGCUUAACUUCGGAAAGGCAGUGGAAACUGAACAGCUAGAGUAUGGUAGGGGCAGAGGGAAUUCCUGGUGUAGCGGUGAAAUGCGUAGAGAUCAGGAAGAACAUCGGUGGCGAAGGCGCUCUGCUGGACCAUAACUGACACUCAGGGACGAAAGCUAGGGGAGCGAAUGGG